UGUGUCCAUAUUGUAUUCUUCGACACAGAAUCGUUUGAAGAAGUUUCUUGUGCAAGUGAUUGGCAUCGUUCUUGUGUUGUGGUUCAACAAAGGGGAAGGUUUUAACUGUUUUGCGCUUAGUGCACCAUUAAUGCCUGCAAAAACCCAACAAGAAGGCUCAAGAAAAUGAUUAAGAGGGUGAAAUAAGAGAAGCUGAGUUUCACGUUUGGAAGUAAAGAUAUGAAAUUUAGAGAGAGAGGAAGAAGAAGAUGAAGAAGGACGCAAUGUGGUAAUGGGACUUGAUGAGAUUGUGACUCUGGAAUCCUGAAAUGGACCAGGUAAGAGAAAAAAAAGAAAAGAUGGUCAGAAUAGAAUUUUAAAGGGCCAAAAGGUAUAAAGAAGAUAAGUAAAAAUUCUAGUAUUCGUUAAGUAUCUAACAAAAAUACUUUACGGUAUGCAUUUUCAAAAUCAAAACUCUUUGGUAAAACCAAAAUGUAUUGGGCGAUUCAGCUACUAGAAAAAAACAAUUUUUUAGAUU